UCACUCGAGACGGAGCGAGAGAGAGAGAGAGAGAGAGAGAGAGAGAGAGAGAGGGAGAGGGAGAGGGAGCUGCGCUGGAAUCAUUCCUGCGAUGCCUCACUGCCUCACUGAAAUGACAUCGCAGAGAUGUUGUGGACAUUUCCAGCUCUGCAGCGGUAAGAGCAAGUCCCUCUGAUAAACACAAGACACACAAGGCCUUCUUUCAGUGAAAGCUCCUUUAGAGGGGCAGGAUGGCUAGGAUUAGCUUUCCUUCUGUCCUCGUCUCUCUCUCUCUCUCUCGUGAGUCUCUCUCCAGUAUUCUAGCAAUGUUUAGAGAGUUGUUUUUGACAGAUGUUUACAUUAUAUUCUAGAUAUGACCACAUGUUAUGUACUCUUCUCAGUCGUCAAAAGCAAUUGUCUGACUAAUUGAGAGAUUUUAAUAAUUUCCUUCUAGAAAGAACACUACAGCACCUCUGAAAGGCUCCAGCAAAGGUGUUAUUCGGCUACGUUCGAGGUUUUCUCUGGGUAAAGCUCAAACCAGCUAGAGCAAAAAUCACAGAAUUUUCCUCUCCUCUUUUAUUUCUCAUGUGCGGCAUUUGCAUUUUACUCAGCUUAGCAAAAGAAGUAGCCCGCAGCGAGAAAACUCUAUCCACUAUGCACAUAAGAAAGAAAGAAAGAGAGGGAGAACAAGAGAAUAAAAGACGUGAAAAAGAACACAGACAGGCUGACGGAAAGGAAAUGAGAGAUAAUCUCAACACUACUGUCCAUUUUUCCAAUGUAGUCGCAAGCCAUCAUCCGUAAUGGGAAAAAUCCACACAUUCUUUCUGUCACCGAACCGCUGAUAUCUUCAUUCUGUGGUCUUAAAUAGUCUUUUGAUGGUAUCUCGAGACCAAUUUACAGAUCUUCGCCAUUAUUACCAUAGAGUCGGUGCAUCAUGUCCGCCCAUCUUUUGGGAAGGGGUCAAUCUUUGCAUGUUACCUGAGGAUGCCACAGGCUUGUUAUCCUCCUCAGACCCUGCCAACCGUAUGUGUCCCCAUCUCUUCUGACAACUAAAGGGACAGAGAAUGACUCAAAGGGCCUUUAAAGUGAGUAAAACCCAUUCUCUUUAAUUCUGAUUACACUCAGAAAGUGUCUUUAGCAUGUGGCGGCUAAAUUGGGCUAUCAGCGCUAAGUAGCGGCGGGGAAGAAAAGAGCCAAUUAUGCCAGUCAAAGCCAGAUGAUGAUUCUCAUCUUCACUCUCUCUCUAACACACACA